GAUGAACGCUGGCGGCAGGCUUAAUACAUGCAAGUUGAACGGUAACAUGUUGUAGCAAUACGAUGAUGACGAGUGGCGCACGGGUGCGUAACACGUGUGUAACCUACCUUAUACAGGAACAUAACGUUGAGAAAUCGGCGCUAACAUUCCAUAAUAUUAUUUGUAGGCAUCUAUGAAUAAUUAAAACUCCGGUGGUAUAAGAUGGGCACGCGUUCCAUUAGCUAGUUGGUAAGGUAACGGCUUACCAAGGCAACGAUGGAUAGGGGUUCUGAGAGGAUAAUCCCCCACACUGGAACUGAGACACGGUCCAGACUCCUACGGGAGGCAGCAGUAAGGAAUAUUGGGCAAUGGAGGCAACUCUGACCCAGCCAUGCCGCGUGCAGGAAGACGGCCCUAUGGGUUGUAAACUGCUUUUAAUAGGGAUUAAAGUCGACUACGUGUAGUUGUUUGCAAGUACCUAUAGAAUAAGCAUCGGCUAACUCCGUGCCAGCAGCCGCGGUAA
rnacentral:rRNA from 1 species